GACGAACGCUGGCGGCGUGCUUAACACAUGCAAGUCGAACGGAAAGGCCCUGCUUUUGUGGGGUGCUCGAGUGGCGAACGGGUGAGUAACACGUGAGUAACCUGCCCUUGACUUUGGGAUAACUUCAGGAAACUGGGGCUAAUACCGGAUAGGAGCUCCUGCUGCAUGGUGGGGGUUGGAAAGUUUCGGCGGUUGGGGAUGGACUCGCGGCUUAUCAGCUUGUUGGUGGGGUAGUGGCUUACCAAGGCUUUGACGGGUAGCCGGCCUGAGAGGGUGACCGGCCACAUUGGGACUGAGAUACGGCCCAGACUCCUACGGGAGGCAGCAGUGGGGAAUAUUGCACAAUGGGCGGAAGCCUGAUGCAGCAACGCCGCGUGCGGGAUGACGGCCUUCGGGUUGUAAACCGCUUUCGCCUGUGACGAAGCGUGAGUGACGGUAAUGGGUAAAGAAGCACCGGCUAACUACGUGCCAGCAGCCGCGGUGAUACGUAGGGUGCGAGCGUUGUCCGGAUUUAUUGGGCGUAAAGGGCUCGUAGGUGGUUGAUCGCGUCGGAAGUGUAAUCUUGGGGCUUUUCCUGAGCGUGCUUUCGAUACGGGUUGACUUGAGGAAGGUAGGGGAGAAUGGAAUUCCUGGUGGAGCGGUGGAAUGCGCAGAUAUCAGGAGGAACACCAGUGGCGAAGGCGGUUCUCUGGGCCUUUCCUGACGCUGAGGAGCGAAAGCGUGGGGAGCGAACAGGCUUAGAUACCCUGGUAGUCCACGCUGUAAACGGUGGGUACUAGGUGUGGGGUCCAUUCCACGGGUUCCGUGCCGUAGCUAACGCUUUAAGUACCCCGCCUGGGGAGUACGGCCGCAAGGCUAAAACUCAAAGGAAUUGACGGGGCCCCGCACAAGCGGCGGAGCAUGCGGAUUAAUUCGAUGCAACGCGUAGAACCUUACCUGGGUUUGACAUGGAUCGGAAGCGCUCAGAGAUGGGUGUGCCUCUUUUGGGGUCGGUUCACAGGUGGUGCAUGGCUGUCGUCAGCUCGUGUCGUGAGAUGUUGGGUUAAGUCCCGCAACGAGCGCAACCCUUGUUCACUGUUGCCAGCACGUUAUGGUGGGGACUCAGUGGAGACCGCCGGGGUCAACUCGGAGGAAGGUGGGGAUGACGUCAAGUCAUCAUGCCCCUUAUGUCCAGGGCUUCACGCAUGCUACAAUGGCUGGUACAGAGAGUGGCGAGCCUGUGAGGGUGAGCGAAUCUCGGAAAGCCGGUCUCAGUUCGGAUUGGGGUCUGCAACUCGACCUCAUGAAGUCGGAGUCGCUAGUAAUCGCAGAUCAGCAACGCUGCGGUGAAUACGUUCCCGGG
rnacentral:rRNA from 1 species